rnacentral:rRNA from 1 species
CCUACGGGAGGCAGCAGUGGGGAAUAUUGCACAAUGGGCGAAAGCCUGAUGCAGCGAUGCCGCGUGCGGGAAGAAGGCCUUAGGGUUGUAAACCGCUUUCAGUAGGGAAGAAAAUGACGGUACCUACAGAAGAAGGUGCGGCCAACUACGUGCCAGCAGCCGCGGUGACACGUAGGCACCAAGCGUUGUCCGGAUUUAUUGGGCGUAAAGAGCUCGUAGGCGGUUUGGUAAGUCGGGUGUGAAAACUCUGGGCUCAACCCAGAGAGGCCACUCGAUACUGCUAUGACUUGAGUACGGUAGGGGAGUGGGGAAUUUCUAGUGUAGCGGUGAAAUGCGCAGAUAUUAGAAGGAACACCAGUGGCGAAGGCGCCACUCUGGGCCGUAACUGACGCUGAGGAGCGAAAGCAUGGGUAGCAAACAGGAUUAGAUACCCUGGUAGUCCAUGCCGUAAACGUUGGGCACUAGGUGUGGGUCUCAACCAACGAGAUCCGCGCCGUCGCUAACGCAUUAAGUGUCCCGCCUGGGGAGUCGGUCGCAAGCAAAACUCAAAGANAGUGCGNGNGAGNGCGACGACGACGACGAGGAGGAG